GACGAACGCUGGCGGCGUGCCUAAUACAUGCAAGUAGAACGCACAGUUUAUACCGUAGCUUGCUACACCAUAGACUGUGAGUUGCGAACGGGUGAGUAACGCGUAGGUAACCUGCCUGGUAGCGGGGGAUAACUAUUGGAAACGAUAGCUAAUACCGCAUAAUAUUAAUUAUUGCAUGAUAAUUAAUUGAAAGGUGCAAUUGCACCACUACCAGAUGGACCUGCGUUGUAUUAGCUAGUAGGUGAGGUAACGGCUCACCUAGGCGACGAUACAUAGCCGACCUGGGAGGGUGAUCGGCCACACUGGGACUGAGACACGGCCCAGACUCCUACGGGAGGCAGCAGUAGGGAAUCUUCGGCAAUGGACGAAAGUCUGACCGAGCAACGCCGCGUGAGGGAAGAAGGUUUUCGGAUCGUAAAGCUCUGUUGUAAGAGAAGAACGGGUGUGAGAGUGGAAAGUUCACACUGUGACGGUAUCUUACCAGAAAGGGACGGCUAACUACGUG
rnacentral:rRNA from 1 species